rnacentral:lncRNA from 1 species
GGUAGACUGUUAGAGAUUAUUUGUUGUACUUAUGUAUGCCUCAGGAUCACUUGAGAGCUUAUUGUAGCCUUUUUGUUUUUCUUAAGUAUUUGUGAGACGUCUCAGGGUUAUUCUGUAAAGUAUUUUUGUGAUUUGGAAUUUUUAUCCCUGGUUACUUUCAGGUUCUCCUGGCUCAUAAUGAUCCCUAGUAAAUUAUCUUGAAUGGAAUAAACAAUCAAAGAUCUCAGCAUCUCAACUUAGAAACAUGUUAUCCCUAUAUCCUCCUAUUCCUAAACUUAGAUUGGAUAGUUACUUGAAACCUGCUAUCCCUUUAGCUUUUGGUGUGCUGCCUUUUGGCAUGUUUUUUUUGUAAAGCGGUGCUCUUUUCUAUCUUACUCUGUUGUUUCGAAUGUUUAUCUUUUGGCUUCUAACAUUAAAAUCAUUAAAAUGUGUAUGGUUUGCUUAAUUGCCCUGCCAGCUUCCAUCAUUUUACUUAGUAAGGACUCCACCUACUCUUUUAGUAUUACUAGGGAUCACUAAGUAUUACUAGGGUUCAACUGAGUGAGAAGAGCUAGGAGUGGUGGCACAUGCCUUAAGUCUCAGCAUUCAGGAGGCAGAAAUAGGCAGGUCUCUGAGUUCAAGGCCAGCUUGAUCUAUAGUGUAAGUUCCAGGGCUACAUAGAGAAACCUUGACUCAAAACAAAACCAAAAAAACCAGAGUGAGAGGUCUCUCAAGCCAUCCUUACCCUGGCUUUUCUAAGGUUCUUUGUUGAUUAAAAAAGCACAAGUAGUUCUAGAUCUGGCAGGAUGUUCUUUUACUUUUUCUGCUAAUAGUCAAGAAUUGUAUUAUUUUGUGAAGUCUUUGAUAAGUUCAUGCAUGUAUGCUGUGUGUUGUGAACAGUCACCCCAUUGCCCUCUCCUAUGCUUCCUUCUCUUUUAUAAAUACCCACCUCCUUCCCAACUAGCCCCUUCCCACUUUUGCAUGUUACUUUGAGUGUGGGUCUGUGCAUGUAGUCACAGCUGCUGUGUGUUUGUUCUUGAUGAAAUUGCCUGUGUCAUAUCUAGAAACCAGCAUUUUAUAGGACUCCUCUACAGUGGUUCCCAACCUUCCUAAUACUGCCGCCCUUUAAUACAGUUCAUGCUUUAAUAUACCUCAUGCUGUAGUGACACCCCCACCCCCAUCCCACCAUAAAAUUAUUUUUGUUGCUACUUCAUAACUGUGAUUUUGCUACUGUUAUGAAUCAUAUUGCAAAUAUUUUUAGAGAUAAGAGAGUCACCAGAGGGGUCAUGACCACAGGUUGAAAACCACUUUUCUAGUACUUAACAGUGUUCCUGCUUCCUCUUCCUUGAUAUCCCCCGGGUCUUGGAGGGGAUGGUACAGAUGUGCAGUUGAGGGAUGAACAUUCUUAUUUUCAGCAUUUACGACUUAAGAGCCUCUGUAUUGAAUGUCAGCCACUGGAAUAGGAAGUUUCUCUGGCCAAGGUAAAUAGCAGUGUUAAUCUAAGGAUAUAGCUAUAAAUAUUUAGAAAGCAGUUUGAUUACAUAUCUAUUUAGCUUAAGUAAUGUACAGAAUUUUAAUUGUGUUUUUUCUUUAUUGCAUUCAUUUGAUAUUUUAUUAGUGUUAAAUAUGUUUGUGCUCCUAUUUCCAUGUGGGAUAAAGUAUAAGACAGUAAUGACAGUGUUACUGUUUACAUUUAUUUUGUGACAAAUUAGUGUAUUCUGAGUAUCAGUAUUUAAUCCAUAGGUAAAUUUGCAGUUUUUUUUAAAUGUGGCAGGAAGCUAGUCUAUAGAAUAUUUUCAAAAAUGGUAAUAUUUGCCAUGAUGCUAAAGUGUAUAAUGAAGCUGGAGAGAUGACUCAGUGGUUAAGAGCACUGACUGCUCUUCCAAGAGGGCCUGGGUUCUAUUAAACAAACUUACAUGGCAGCUCAUAGCCAUCUGUAACUCCAGGCCAGGGAAUCUGAUGUUUUCUUCUGGCCUCUGGGCACCAGACGGGCAUAGAGUGCACAAAGAUGAAUGUAGGCAAACACAUAAAGUAGU